rnacentral:lncRNA from 1 species
GGGCGCCUCUGCCCAGCCGCCCCUACUGGGAAGUGAGGAGCCCCUCUGCCAGGCCAGCCACCCCGUCUGGGAGGGAGGUGGGGGGCUCAGCCCCCCGCCCGGCCAGCCGACCCGUCCGGGAGGGAGGUGGGGGGUCAGCCCCCCGCCCGGCCAGCCGCCCCGUCCGGGAGGUGAGGGGCACCUCUGCCCGGCCGCCCCUACUGGGAAGUGAGGAGCCCCUCUGCCCAGCCAGCCGCCCCGUCCGGGAGGGAGGUGGGGGGGUCAGCCCCCCGCCCGGCCAGCCGCCCCGUCCGGGAGGGAGGUGGGGGGGUCAGCCCCCAGCCCGGCCAGCCGCCCUGUCCGGGAGGUGAGGGGCGCCUCUGCCCAGCUGCCCCUACUGGGAAGUGAGGAGCCCCUCUGCCCAGCCAGCCGCCCCGUCCGGGAGGGAGGUGGGGGGGUCAGCCCCCCGCCUGGCCAGCCGCCCCGUCCGGGAGGUGAGGGGCGCCUCUGCCCGGCCACCCCUACUGGGAAGUGAGGAGCCCCUCUGCCCAGCCACCACCUCGUCUGGGAGGUGUACCCAACAGCUCAUUGAGAACGGGCCGGGAUGACAAUGGCGGUUUUGUGGAAUAGAAAGGGGGGAAAGGUGGGGAAAAGAUUGAGAAAUCGGAUGGUUGCCGUGUCUGUGUAGAAAGAAGUAGACAUGGGAGACUUUUCAUUUUGUUCUGUACUAAGAUAAAUUCUUCUGCCUUGGGAUCCUGUUGAUCUGUGACCUUACCCCCAACCCUGUGCUCUCUGAAACAUGUGCUGUGUCCACUCAGGGUUAAAUGGAUUAAGGGCGGUGCAAGAUGUGCUUUGUUAAACAGAUGCUUGAAGGCAGCAUGCUCGUUAAGAAUCAUCACCACUCCCUAAUCUCAAGUACCCAGGGACACAAACACUGCGGAAGGCCGCAGGGUCCUCUGCCUAGGAAAACCAGAGACCUUUGUUCACUUGUUUAUCUGCCAACCUUCCCUCCACUAUUGUCCUAUGACCCUGCCAAAUCCCCCUCUGCGAGAAACACCCAAGAAUGAUCAAUAAAAAAAAUAAAAAUUAAAAAAAAAAAAAAAAAAA